CCCUUAGAUGUUCUGGGCCGCACACGCGCUACACUGAAGGAGGCAGCGUGUACUCCUGGAUCGAAAGAUUUGGGUAACCCGCGAAUCUCCUUCGUGCUAGGGAUUGAGGUUUGCAAUUAUCCUUCAUGAACGAGGAAUUCCCAGUAAGUGCAAGUCAUAAGCUUGCGCUGACUACGUCCCUGCCCUUUGUACACACCGACCGUCGCUACUACCGAUUGAAUGAUUUAGUGAGGACUUCGGACUGGGACCGAUGCGGCUUUCGGGCUGCGUCGGUAUUCUGGAAAGAUGUCCAAACUGUAUCAUUUAGAGGAAGUAAAAGUCGUAACA
rnacentral:rRNA from 1 species